AGAGCGAACGCUGGCGGCAGGCUUAACACAUGCAAGUCGAGCGGGCGUAGCAAUACGUCAGCGGCAGACGGGUGAGUAACGCGUGGGAACAUACCUUUUGGUUCGGAACAACACAGGGAAACUUGUGCCAAUACCGGAUAAGCCCUUACGGGGAAAGAUUUAUCGCCGAAAGAUUGGCCCGCGUCUGAUUAGCUAGUUGGUGAGGUAACGGCUCACCAAGGCGACGAUCAGUAGCUGGUCUGAGAGGAUGAUCAGCCACAUUGGGACUGAGACACGGCCCAAACUCCUACGGGAGGCAGCAGUGGGGAAUAUUGGACAAUGGGCGCAAGCCUGAUCCAGCCAUGCCGCGUGAGUGAUGAAGGCCCUAGGGUUGUAAAGCCCUUUUGUACGGGAAGAAAAGCUCUGGGUGAAUAUCCUGGAGUCAUGACGGUACCGUAAGAAUAAGCACCGGCUAACUUCGUGCCACAGCCGCGGU
rnacentral:rRNA from 1 species